UUCAAAUUUUAUAAAUGUAUUCUAUUGAAACACAUUCUAACCUCUUUUCAUCGAAGAAACAGUUGGAAUUACUCUGUAUUUUAUGUAAUUUCAAUAAAAAAACUUGGAAAUUUUUAUUUUUAUUUCAAUUUCUGUGUACAAUGUUUAUUUAUUGAUAAAUAUGGAAAAUUAUCGGUCAUUUUAUGUUGCAUCAGGUUUUCAAGAAGAUUGUAAUAUUCUUAUUUCAGAAUUUGAAAAUACCGAUUCAACUAGUUUUAAAGAAUUUUCUAAAAUUUGGAAUAAAAUGCGAUUUUCGUUGAUAUUUAUUGAGAGAUCAACAAAACCUGAAUUAAUGGAAUUUUGUGAAGAAGUUCUUCAUAGUGCUAAAAAUUUUCUCUUAGCGUCGAGAAAAUUAAAAGAAAAAAUUGGUGGUGUUUAUUUGUUAUACGGAUUAUAUUACAGAAUGCCCGUAGGAGGACCAAAAAUUCGUAUGACAAUGAACGAUUGGGAAAUUGUUUUAAAUUUACAAUCUGAAUUAAUUCAUCACCAUGAAUAUCAAGCAGUAUAUAUUCUUAAUCAAUUAAUUGAAAACAAUGCUUUUGUUUACUGUACAUUUGAACAUGAGAGAAGAUUAGAGAAUUACUACUCCAUGAAAGAGUUUAUAAAAAGAGAUCCACAACCUAAAAGUGAUCUUAUCAGUAUAUUUGAUGAUUUAAAAAAACAAAGUAAGAACUAUGUUGAUUUAAAGAAUGCAUCAGAACAGAUGACAGGUGAAGAUAUACCAAGAUUAUUCAAAAUGGAAAAUAUUACAAAAAUGGUUGGAGAAAUAGAGAAUUUAAAUAAUGUUGUUGUUUCAAAAAAAACAACUGUACCAGUUAAAACAACAAUGAGCUUACGCAGCAGUGGAAAAAUUGAUAUAUCAAAGCCAUCAACUUCUCAUGAAAAUUUCGAAGACUUAUUACCUUCUACAUCAAAAGAUAAUGGAAACACUCUAAAUUUAAAGAUGGAAUGUAGUGGUGACACAGAAUCAUCAGAGGAAUCGUCCGAUUCAGAUGACUGAUCAAUAUUAUUAAAAGAAAGUUUUAAUGAAUUGCAAUGAAUUAUUACAAAAACUAAAAAAAUUAAAAUCCAAUUGCUGAAUGUUAAUUACAAAACAUGAUUUCAAAAGAUUAAUUAAAUAAAAAAAGAUUAAUAAAGAUAAGCGUUGUCAUAAUUUUAUUUAAUAAAUAUUCAAAGAAAAAUAAACAAAAUGAUUUUUGUCUACUGAAAAAGCUUGACAAAAGGGGAACAA